rnacentral:misc_RNA from 1 species
UCUCCGUAGGUGAACCUGCGGAGGGAUCAUUACAGAGUUCAUGCCCUACCGGGUAGAUCUCCCACCCUAUGUUAUUAUUACUUUGUUGCUUUGGCGGGCCGUUAGGCUCCGGCCCGACUACCGGCCCCGGCUGGUAAGCGCCCGCCAGAGGAUCCAAAACCCUGAAUAUUAGUGUCGUCCGAGUACUAUAUAAUAGUUAAAACUUUCAACAACGGAUCUCUUGGUUCUG